rnacentral:rRNA from 1 species
GGUUGCGAUCAUACCAGCACUAAUGCACCGGAUCCCAUCGGGACUCCGCAGUUAAGCGUGCUUGGGCGAGAGUAGUACUAGGAUGGGUGACCCCCUGGGAAGUCCUCGUGUUGCAACCC